UUUUAGCUAGUAUAUAAGUACAGUUACCUUCCAAGUAAAAAGUUCCUAGAGAGCUGUUAA
rnacentral:tRNA from 1 species